UUGUUUUUACUUAGCAAGAACAACAGCUGUUUGGGUGUCUGAAACAGCACUGCCUGGUCCCCGUAGUGCCGGGGCUGCCCCGGUUUGGUAGAGGGAAGAUACAGGGAACAUGAGACCUGGCGAGUCUUUUUUGGAGCCAGUGUGAGUCUUAGGUAAGGAGUGGGGCAUCCCUGGGCACAGACACUGAGCCAGAUUUUCAUGAUGCUCAACUGAGCUUGCAUCAAGAUACUGAUUCAUUAAUUUGAAUUACUCAUUUUACUGGACCAGUCCUCAGGAGCCAUUCAGCUCUCUGGAAGAAAAUCCCUGCCUCAGAAGAACUAUGGACAACUCCUGAGAUCCAAGAGGCUGAGGCUUGGAGAGGGCAUUAAGGACCUUAAAAACCAUAUAAGCCGCUUCUUACAUUUCCUCUUAAUGUAAUACAGUCAGCUAAGGGUGCUGUCAGGCACCUGCAUAGCUGUCUGCUUGCAUCUUUGAUUUGGACACAAAGCAUGAUGUUCAGAAGAGGAACGAAGAGAUGGGACAAUCCACAAAGAAUCCUGGUACCCGUUCAUCCUGUGGCUGCUGCUGUCAUGGAAACCAUGUGGAAAAGCACCAAAGGGUCAGGAGGAGAAGAACCAGGCUCGAGUGUCUGAAAGCCUGUCCUUCUGUGAACGCUAUCAUGAGGCCAGCUGUGCCCACGGAGGAAAACAUUGCCCCACUAGGUCAGGUUAUUCUCCCAGGAGAGGACACAAGGUGAAACUGUUUACUCAUGCACCAGGGAGGUGGGUGGUGGUGGUGGUGGACCAGCUGCAUCCACUACCCUCUCAUCAGAGUUCAUGCAGGGAGAGAAGGGUGGGCCUGCUGCAUCCACCACCUUCUCAUUGGAGCUCAUGUGGGAUUUUCUUUCUGUUCUCAAGCCCACAAUGGGAGGAAGCUUUGUCCAAGGAAGCUGUCCUUGGGAUCAACACUACAAUUUCUUUCAGUCAAUUUACUGACCUGCCCAGGGCAGAACCCUGUCUUGUUUGACUGGGAAAUCUGGAGACACAAGCAUCACCAUGCUGUAUACAACAGUCCUCUUUCUUGCCGUUGUGCCGAUUGACAGGGAUAGAGACACUGGGAAGAAGGGUCAGGGCUUUUGUUUCAAUUUUCUUUCUUACAAGGACGCACCUGGAAUACGACCACUGGUCUCUUGAAAACGAACUAUGAAUAUAUACCUCCUAUAUGCAUGGAGCUUUUGAUUGGCUCCUAGUAAUUAUGCAAGUUUACGGGAUACAGUAUUGGAAGGGAAUGAAUAUAAGGUUUAGACAACAUGGUACCAGUGAGGCUGCCUGGAAUAACUUAAUUAAGAUGGCCACUACCAGAUAUCCGGGAACCACAGUAAGUGCUAAAUGACACUGUUGUGUAAUUCAUUAUGCGAUCAGCUCUGACAAAAAGCAACUUUCCUGUGAUUCUCUAUAAAAAUGUCCUCAGACUCAAGGGUGCAUGCCCACAGAAUAAAGUAUGUCAUGUCAGUGA